UGCUGUGUAAAACCAUGUUAUGUUACGUUCAUUCACUGGUCUUCUCUUCUUUUACACAGCGGGAGAACACAGCAGAAAGCGGUGUACACCUUUAAAGAGGAGGAGCAACAGGACAUUGAGCCCUACAGCACAUUCACAAGGAGAGACAAURGGCUUUACUCAACCCUCCAGCUGACACAUUSUAACCCCUGACCUCUGGCACCGUUGACCAAUGACGACAUGUCAUUAGACACCUUUUUCUAUCACWAGGGGUUAAAAAGUAUUUCAGCAGCCCUGGAUAUACAAAUGUACAGUAUAUCCAUUYACUGURUAUCUUGAUUACUGUAAUGCCCCUACUUUUACAUCGGAUACACUUCAACUUUAUAUAGCUCCAUUGAUUGGUUACUGACACCUGGCUGAUUAGGUCCUGUACUGUAGAUUGUCUUCUGUUGCUGUAAAUAUCAGCACUUACUGUAUGAAUCCUGCACAGUAUGUUACGUAGAACCAAUGUUCCUGUGGACAGAUKAUGUGAAUCCUGCACAUUAUAUUACGUAGAACAAAUGUUAAUGUAGACUGAAGAUGUGAAUCCUGCACAUUAUGUUACGUAGAACCAAUGUUCCUGUGGACAGAUGUGAUCAUGUGCAUUUCCACCAGGUGUCAGUGUAUUGCAUUUGUAAAAUAUAUUACCUGCAGCAGUAGAGAUGACCAGUCAUCAUCACAACAUGCUUCAUGACAAUGUAUUUUCCUUGCUUUCAAUGUUCCAUCUCCAUGUAUCAUGUAGGCCUCAUUAAUUACAUGUUUAAGUGAAGAGAUGUAACGACAAAACUAAACCAUUCACCAUUCAUUUAUGUAUCUAACCCAGCAUGUACACAGGAAAAUGAACCGUUAUCUACAUCAGGCUUAUAUGAUAUAAGAACCCUUCAGCCUUGUGGUGGUGCAGAAUCUAUCAUUGUUUGUGUAUAAAGAAGGAAGUGGACCUGUU